rnacentral:sRNA from 1 species
GAAGCAGGGCCUGGAAGUGCAGGAUUCACUCCCCUCCUGCGACCUAGGCAGGCAUGAGGGUGUGAUGGCCGCGCAUUCGCCAGACGAGAGCGAUGGCUGAGAACGCCGCACCAGGUCUGAUCUCAGAGCUGAAGCUGGCUGUGCCCUGGGGCCACAUCGCAGCCAAAGCCUGGGGCCCUGCAGGGCCCUCCCGUUCUCUGCCUGCACGGCUGGCUGGACAAUGCCAACUCCUUCAACAGACUCAUCCCUCUUCUCCCGCAAGACUUUUAUUACGUUGCCAUGGAUUUCGGAGGUCAUGGGCUCUCGUCCCAUUACAGCCCAGGUGUCCCAUAUUACCUCCAGACUUUUGUGAGUGAGAUCCGAAGAGUUGCGGCAGCCUUGAAAUGGAAUCGAUUCUCCAUUCUGGGCCACAGCUUCGGUGAGUACACUGGCCAGGAGCUGACCGGGCCCGGAGUACGGCUGGGAGGGAAGGAUAGGAGCUGCUGCCCCACCCUUUUCCCCUGCACUUAUGAGAUCUGCAAAGAGAGAUGAGAGGGUCAGUCAGAGGUUGACCACUGUACCCUCUGACCUCAGGCAACUGCCGCAAGGGACACAGGGAUGAGGGAAAUGUGGUCUUUUGAGUGGUCAGGUCUGAUGAAGGGGCGAUCAUGGCCCAGAUGCUGAGCCCCCAGCCACCCAUAUGGUGCCCCCCCCCACCACUGGUGGGAAGAAGCUUUAGGGUAUGCAGCUGGGGAGGGAGUGAGGGAAUGUCACCCACAGCUCUUUUGUCCCUCAGGUGGCGUCGUGGGUGGAAUGUUUUCCUGUACCUUCCCCGAGAUGGUGGAUAAACUUGUCUUGCUGGACAUGCCGCUCUUUCUCCUGGAAUCAGAUGAAAUGGAGAACUUGCUGACCUACAAGCGGAGAGCCAUACAGCACGUGCUGCAGGUAGAGGCCUCCCAGGAGCCCUCGCACGCGUUCAGCCUGAAGCAGCUGCUGCAGAGGUAGAGAACAGCACUUCCUCAGCAGGGAGCUGUGUGUGCAUUCCAUCAGGAAGCUGCAGGCCCAUGUCCUGUUGAUCAAAGCAGUCCACGGAUAUUUUGAUCCAAGAGAGAAUUACUCUGACAAGGAGUCCCUGUCGUUCAUGAUAGACACGAUGAAAUCCACCCUCAAAGAGGACUACUUCGGAUACAAUCACAGCAACCCUGGCCUCGGCCCUGCCCUGUCCCUGCCAUGCAGCUUCACAACUCAGCUGGCCUAGACCCCUGAGAGGCCUCCAAGUCCCUAGGCGGUUCCAGUUUGUGGAAGUCCCAGGCAAUCACUGUGUCCACAUGAGCGAACCCCAGCACGUGGCCAGUAUCAUCAGCUCCUUCUUACAGUGCACACACACGCUCCCAGCCCAGCUGUAGCUCUGGGCCUGGAACUAUGAAGACCUAGUGCUCCCAGACUCAACACUGGGACUCUGAGUUCCUGAGCCCCACAACAAGGCCAGGGAUGGUGGGGACAUGCCUCACUAGUCUUGAGGCCCAGCCUAGGAUGGUAGUCAGGGGAAGGAGUGAGAUUCCAACUUCAACAUCUGUGACCUCAAGGGGGAGACAGAGUCUGGGUUCCAGGGCUGCUUUCUCCUGGCUAAUAAUCUCCAGCCAGCUGGAGGAAGGAAGGGCGGGCUGGGCGCACCUAGCCUUUCCCUGCUGCCCAACUGGAUGGAAAAUAAAAGGUUCUUGUAUUCUC